GCUCUGAAGCUCAGUUCCCUUCUUUCCCUAUUCCUAUCAUGUGUGGUACUCCAUUUUAUAUGCGGAUGUUUCAGCAUUCUUUGAUAAGGGAUCCGAGAGACCCAGUAUACAAGAGCGUUAUCGGUAAGAUUGACCAAAAUUCCUCUUUCCUUGUCCAGCCAUUCCAACAGUUGAUAACAUUUAAGAUUUGCGAAUCUUUGUUUCUUUGUCCUCCUAUCUCAAACCCACUAUUUUCUCAUACAUCAUCACUAUGAACUAAGAUUUUGUAUGUAUUGAGAAAUGGUGUUUUUGAUGAAGUGAUGGUAAGAUAGGAAGAUGAGUAAUCAAAGUAUGGUCAAAUCUUGAUGUUAAAUUAAACUGGUGGGAUGCUUGGGCCAGGAAAGACGACUUAGGUCAAAAAAAGAAUAUGAUAAAUAUGCUCGCAAUUCCAAUCUACUCGGUUUGUUUAAUGAUGAUGAAUGUUGUAUGCUAUUUAUUAAAGAAGAUGCUCUUCAAUGAAGAAAUUGUUCCACUUGGCUUAAAAAAUCUGUCUCUAAAUUAACAAAAAGUUAGUUUUGCUUGUAGCAGGUGUUAACAAUUGCUGAGGAUAAGUGGUAAAAAAUUUAGAGUAACGGAUUUAUAGGUCCUCCAAGGAUGUAAUGCUCUUAAAGGGCACCCAGUGCACAAAGUAUCUUGCAUUCACGUAAGGUCUGGGAAGGAUCGCACCUCAAGGGGUGUAAUAUAGACAACCUACCAUAAUGCAUGCGUUAGUGGUUGCUUCUACGGCUCGAACUAGUGACCUACAGUCAUAUAGAAGCAACUUUACCGUUGUUCGAAGGCUACUCUAACGCAUGCAUUUUAGUUGAGAAUUUACCAUGCCAUUCUGUAUUUGGAGGAUGUUUACUAAACAAAGAGAGUUUCAAAGUUUACAGAAGGAUUUUAAAUAAUCACUUGGAGAAGGGCUAGGAGGACAUAGCAGAACAUUAGUUAGAGAUGAUGUUUUUGGAUUUUAGUUCAGUUGACGUUUGAGAAUUAGUUUGGUAGUAUUUUGCUGCAACAGAAGCAUUUUAUGGCUUUCUCUUUCAUGAAUAAUUAAUGGGUGAUUGUCCAUCUGCCGGUGCUUUUGUCUUUGUGUAUGGUUCGAGAGUGGGAGACUUAUGUCUUAAUUUGCCAUAAAAGACGAAUUCUUUAGCACUAGAAUAUUGAAAAUAUGAAAUGUGCCAGAAAAUAGUAGAAUAGAUACUGAGCAUUCAUAUAUUUGAUUCAAGUUUGGGAUUAAGGCAAAGUUGAUUGAAUGCACUGGUUUCACUUAAUUGAAGCCAACUAAUAUUAUUUGAACGUUUGUUAAUGGAUUGUAACAGUAGUGUUAUGUAGAGAACAGAAUAAUCAGAGCAGUAAAAGAUAUGACUUUGUUUGAAGUACGGUGCUGAGUUUUUAAAAUCUACGUCGGUUACUUACUACUACUGUGACCUGCAUUUGUCGGAAUGUCCAUCUUCUCCCUCUUUGUGGAGAAAUGGAGUUUUAUCCGAUCUCACCCUGUAGGUGGUUAAUCAUAGGCAGUAUUUGGUAUGGAUGGAUAUUUCAUAUGCUCCUUCUGUGGAUUUUUGAGAAUGGAGUCUUACAAUUCUGAGAGAACUUUAAGCUGGAACUGUUGUAUUGAAGAAGUCUUGUUUGGAUAACCACAUCUAUCAAAAGAUCCUCAAGAAGCACUUUAUCAUAUUACUCUGAUCGAGCUGCAAGCUUUUUCAUGUUCAUAAUCAAGGUCAAUUUUUGGUGCAGUUUGUGAUGUUUGGAUAUCUGUAGUUUCAACACACUUGCAGAGAUAUGUGCAUCUGCAUUUGAUUUUAUCUUCACUGCUAACUUAGCAUUAAGAUAAAUUCCAGGGCUGCAAUGGCGAGAAAUGCUCGGGGUACAAAAGGACUAGGACUUCUAUAUCCAUUUUUAUUGUAGCUGGUCUAUGCUGUUUCUUCUAUUUGCUUGGGAGUAUGGAAAAGAAGUGGCUUUGGGUAAGGAGAUAGUGUAGCUCUAUCUGUCACCAAGAUUACUGAGAGCUGCAAUAUCCUACCAAAUCUCAAUUUGAGACUGGUCAUGGUAGCCAAACUUCUAAUAUUGAUGAGUCAGCAACGGAAUUCAAAGAAUUUAAGCCAAGUGAUCCUAAAUACACCGAUUAUACACCCUGUCAAGAACAAAGGCGUUCUAUGACCUUACCUGGGUAUGAUCUACCAUGAAAGGCAUUAUCCAACUCAUGCAAGGAAGUUACAGUGCCUUAUUCCAACGCCUAUGGGAAUGUUACCCCAUUUCCAUGGCAAAAAGCCGCGAUUAUGUUCCCUAUGCCAAUUCUCCUAUGACAGUUAAGAAUGCAAUCAGAAUUGGAUUCAGUAUGAAGGUGUUUUAUUUUGGUUCCCUGAAGGAGGAUCACAGUUUCUACAAGGGACAGAUGAAUAUAUAUAUCAGUUUGCUUUAGUAAUCCCAACUCGAGUUGCGAGUGUAUGUACUGCUUUGGAUGCUGAUUUUUUGGGUAUGCCUAGUUCCAAACACCUUCAAUAUCAUUGGCUUGUUGCAUUCAAGGGUGUGACAUAGUGGUUAAUGAAGCAGACCGAGAAUCACGAUGUCUCACAUUUAAAUCUCAAUGGAAGCACAAAAUACUAGGUAAUUUCUUCCUAUCUACUUAAGCCUUGGUGCAUGGUCAGAGUUACUUGGUAUCUAUGCUGGUGGAAGGUAGCAGGUACUCGGAGAAAUAAUUGCGUUAUGGCAGCCUAAAUCCUAAAUACUCUCGUUUAUUAACAGAUGGGCAAUCUAGGAAUUGCUAAAUGGACUAUUUUCUGGAGUUUCUGCUGAGGCAUUUCUGGAAGACAGCAAGAAAUGGAAGAAACAUGCAAGUGCUUAUAAAAAUAUCAACAAACUCAUUGACACCACAGUGUUAUGGACAUGAACGCACGACUUAGGAGGUUUUGUUGUUGCACCACUGUCUCCAAAGUUGUGUAAAGUUAUGUCAACAAUAGCCAAGAAAAAAUUGGGAGUUAUCUGUGAAUGAGGGACUGAUCAGUAUCUAUCAUGACUGAUAUGGUCUUCUUUCAUAUGUUCUAUCAUAGUGUUAUCUAGGAUGCUUGUGGUGUUAAUUUCUUUCCGAUGCUUCUAGAUUGUUUUUUAUGAAUACUAGUUGUAUCUUGCUUUCCUUGAGUCGGGAUUUAUUGGAAACAACCUCUCUACCCCCACAAGGAUAGGGACAAGCAGACUAAUUUAUACUCAAAGUUAUCAA